rnacentral:rRNA from 1 species
CCUACGGGCGGCAGCAGUGAGGAAUAUUGGUCAAUGGCCGGAAGGCUGAACCAGCCAUGCCGCGUGAAGGUCAGUGCCCUAUGGGCGUUAAACUUCUUUUGUGCGGGAGCAAUAAUGGUCACGUGUGGCCAGACGAGAGUACCGUACGAAUAAGCAUCGGCUAACUCCGUGCCAGCAGCCGCGGUAAUACGGGGGAUGCAAGCGUUAUCCGGAUUUAUUGGGUUUAAAGGGUGCGUAGGCUGUGAGGUAAGUCAGCGGUGAAAUGCCCCCGCUCAACGGGGUGAAGUGCCAUUGAUACUGCCUUGCUGGAAGGCGGAUGCGGUGGGAGGAAUGUGGGGUGUAGCGGUGAAAGGCAUAGAUAUCACACAGAACACCGAUUGCGAAGGCAUCUCACGAAUCCGCGAUUGACGCUGAUGCACGAAAGCGUGGGUAUCAAACAGGAUUAGAUACCCUGGUAGUC